rnacentral:rRNA from 1 species
UACGGAGGGUGCAAGCAUUGAUCGGAAUUACUGGGCGUAAAGGGCGCGUAGGCGGUCAGAAAAGUCAGAUGUGAAAUUCCGGGGCUCAACCCCGGAGCUGCAUUUGAAACUCUCUGACUAGAGGUUAGUAAGGGAAAACAGAAUUCCACGUGUAGCGGUGAAAUGCGUAGAUAUGUGGAAGAAUACCGGUGGUGAAGACGGUUUUCUGUGCUAAACCUGACGCUGAGGCGCGAAAGCUAGGGGAGCAAACAGG